rnacentral:snRNA from 1 species
AUAUUUACCUGGCAGGGGAGAGACCGUGAUCGUGAAGGUGGUUUUCCCAGGGCGAGGCUUAUCCAUUCCUGAGACUGGGCGAGGUGGUGCUUCUGUAAUCCCAGCUCUUGGGAGGCUGUAAAC